rnacentral:rRNA from 1 species
CGGCGGGUGGAGUAACACGUAUCCAACCUGCCGUCUACUCUUGGACAGCCUUCUGAAAGGAAAGAUUAAUACAAGAUGGCAUCAUGAGUUCACAUGUUCACAUGAUUAAAGGUAUUCCGGUAGACGAUGGGGAUGCGUUCCAUUAGAUAGUAGGCGGGGUAACGGCCCACCUAGUCUUCGAUGGAUAGGGGUUCUGAGAGGAAGGUCCCCCACAUUGGAACUGAGACACGGUCCAA